rnacentral:tRNA from 1 species
GAGGUUAUAGCUCAGUAGUAGAGUGCUUGCUUAGCAUGCAUGAGGUCCUGGGUUCAGUCCCCAGCGCCUCCA